GAUGAACGCUGGCGGCGUGCCUAAUACAUGCAAGUCGAGCGAACGGACGAGAAGCUUGCUUCUCUGAUGUUAGCGGCGGACGGGUGAGUAACACGUGGAUAACCUACCUAUAAGACUGGGAUAACUUCGGGAAACCGGAGCUAAUACCGGAUAAUAUUUUGAACCGCAUGGUUCAAUAGUGAAAGACGGUCUUGCUGUCACUUAUAGAUGGAUCCGCUCUGCAUUAGCUAGUUGGUAAGGUAACGGCUUACCAAGGCAACGAUGCAUAGCCGACCUGAGAGGGUGAUCGGCCACACUGGAACUGAGACACGGUCCAGACUCCUACGGGAGGCAGCAGUAGGGAAUCUUCCGCAAUGGGCGAAAGCCUGACGGAGCAACGCCGCGUGAGUGAUGAAGGUCUUCGGAUCGUAAAACUCUGUUAUUAGGGAAGAACAUAUGUGUAAGUAACUGUGCACAUCUUGACGGUACCUAAUCAGAAAGCCACGGCUAACUACGUG
rnacentral:rRNA from 1 species